UAAUAGGCAAUGAACAAGAAUAGUAAUCAUAAAAAGGUCUAAAGCGAGCUAGGAAUGGUGGAAGCCUAGUGAUACUAUUAUGAUGAAUGGACUUGUGAGUUUAUAUCUGAAAUAAGUAAGAUAUAGGAUUUAUCCACCUUAUAGGAUUAAAGUUGGCUUUUAGCAAGAAGAGUGGUACCGCGGAAAUUACCCUUUCGUCUCUUUA
rnacentral:ncRNA from 1 species